rnacentral:rRNA from 1 species
UACAGAGGUGGCAAGCGUUGUUCGGAAUUACUGGGCGUAAAGGGCGCGUAGGCGGCCUUCUAAGUCAGACGCGAAAUCCCCAGGCUUAACUUGGGAACUGCGUCUGAUACUGGAGGGCUCGAGUGCGGGAGAGGGAUGUGGAAUUCCAGGUGUAGCGGUGAAAUGCGUAGAUAUCAGGAAGAACACCCGUGGCUAAGGCGGUUCUCUAGUACGGUACUGACGCUGAGACGCGAAAGCGUGGGGAGCGAACAGG